UUGGGGUUUUGUAAAGUUCAUCUCUGACGAUUAUACUGAAGAGAUGUACAUAACGCAGAAGAUGCAGUGAGUUUAUUGAUGGUUUCUGUGCUUGGCCAAGUUACAGUGCCGUCAUCCAGCCUUCAAGCAUGGUUCAGAAGCCAUGAACCACAAAUCAGCAUGUUUCCUUCCAGUUUCCAAUGAGCACUCUGACAGCAUCACUUAGCAUGCCAGUAUUCAACAUUGUGCAGAUCAUCUCUGUAAAGAUGGCUGUGUUGCUUCAGUUGCCACAUCUCUACGUAUGUUCUUCCUGUUAGCAAAGGCACACUGUGACAGCAUAUACUUUCUACAUGCUAAUACAUGCACAGUAUUGUUCAGGGAAAGACAUAUGCAAACCUAUCAGCUUCCAAAGUCGGCAACAUCCUGCUGUCACUACAGUCUCAGCACCUACCAGCUCCCACUCUGUCAGCAACAUCCUGCUGUCACAUGUCCAGCUACUGGUACUUGAAGUUACUGUGUGCUUGUACAUUCUCAGCACCUACUAGCUCUCACUCUGUCAGCAACAUCCUGCUGUCACAUGUCCAGCUAUUGGUACUCGGAGUUACUAUUUGCUUGUACUUUCUCAGCACCUACCAGCUCCCACUCUGUCAGCAACAUCCUGUCCAGCUACCGGCACUUGGAGUUAUUGUGUGCUUGUACAUUCUCAGCAUCUACUAGUUCCCACUCUGUCAGCAACAUCCUGCUGUCACACCUCCAGAUAUGUGGAGUUAUUGUGCUUUUACAGUCUCAGCCAGUAUUGGAUUGCAAGUUGUCUUAUGCUGCUACAACCUACACAUUUAGCAUUCUCUUGAACCUUGAGGAACCACCAUAUGAACAAAGAGACUCUGAAACACUCAUAAUAAACCUGUCACGGUGGUUUGUUGAACAUUCGUAUUAUUUGGAGGACUUGCAAUUAGCUCAUAUAGUCAACUAGCUAUUCCAGUCCUCUGGAAGAGUUAGUUGGCUGCUUGAGGUUAUUCUAUACUAGUAGCAUGCCUUUUUUGUGCACGGUCAAGAGUAGAUCGAGAAAGCAGUUGUUUUUAAGGGCAAAACAAUUGUUCUUGUUCCUUGAAAAAGUUGGUCAAAACAUUUUCCCAACCAAUUUUUUUAUUUAAACAGUAAGAUAAAGGGCAACAAGGACUGUUUAAUGCCAUUUCUACUUGGUAGAAAAACAAUUCAAUGCUAAUUUUUAUCCAAGAUAUUCAAAGCUUUGGUGUUAUUGGCAAAGAGAGUACCCACAAGAGUGGUUGUGACAUGUACAUGCAAUACUGUUUGCAAUGAUUAUGCUAUUAUUAUGAUAAAAAUCGUGCAAAGUACGGCGUUAAAAUGGGCUUUCUCCUUGUACAUAGCACAAUACAUAAGUGAUUGUGAUCAUAAAUGUAUUGAAUUACAUAAAAUAUGAUUGUGGAUAAAUAUUUGGUAAUUUUGGGGAGGGGUGAGUGUAGGGGGGGGGGGGGAGGG
rnacentral:lncRNA from 1 species